CGGAAUACGAUUUAAAACACUGAUAUACAACAUAAAAACUUGCUUAUGUAACUUGCCUUAUUAUAGCAUAAGAUUCCUUUUCUUUUUCUUGUUGAGGAGGAUGAUGUGGAUAGUAUAAGGUGUCAAAUUGAUUGUACUUGUUCUCUUUUUUUUAUUAGACCCACUUUCCCUCAAUUGACUGCCAUGUCUCUUUCCAAAUCCACUCCCCUUAAGAAGAUUAGAGAAGCUUUACAUGCCUUACUACUAGCAAGAAUGUACAUAGAAAAAGAUAAUAUUUUUUUCAUUUCCUUGUCUCCUUUGAUUCAGAAGCUUAGGAC
rnacentral:lncRNA from 1 species